UACAGGGGGUGCAAGCGUUGUUCGGAAUUACUGGGCGUAAAGGGCGCGUAGGCGGCCUGCUAAGUCGGACGUGAAAUCCCUCGGCUCAACCGAGGAACUGCGUCUGAUACUGGCGGGCUCGAAUCCGGGAGAGGGAUGUGGAAUUCCAGGUGUAGCGGUGAAAUGCGUAGAGAUCGGGAGGAACACCAGUAGCGAAGGCGGCCGGCUGGGCCGACCCUGACGCUGAGGCGCGAAGGCGUGGGGAGCGAACGGG
rnacentral:rRNA from 1 species